rnacentral:ncRNA from 1 species
CAAAUAGCUGUGAUUAGGAAAAGUAAUUAUUCUAAAAGUUUUAAGCGAAUGGGGACGGUGUAAGCCCAUAACAAAUAGGAUAAUAAAAAUCACCUAGGAGCUGAUGGCUGAAAGUUUAAGUAAGCUUAUUCGUAAUUCUGCGUUAAAGAAUAGAGUAUAUUUGUGCUUGAAAAGAUCAGUUAAUUAGGUGGUAUAGCGAGUUACUUCGUCCUAUUU